UGAACGCUAGCUACAGGCUUAACACAUGCAAGUCGAGGGGCAGCAUGGUCUUAGCUUGCUAAGGCCGAUGGCGACCGGCGCACGGGUGAGUAACACGUAUCCAACCUGCCGUCUACUCUUGGACAGCCUUCUGAAAGGAAGAUUAAUACAAGAUGGCAUCAUGAGUCCGCAUGUUCACAUGAUUAAAGGUAUUCCGGUAGACGAUGGGGAUGCGUUCCAUUAGAUAGUAGGCGGGGUAACGGCCCACCUAGUCUUCGAUGGAUAGGGGUUCUGAGAGGAAGGUCCCCCACAUUGGAACUGAGACACGGUCCAAACUCCUACGGGAGGCAGCAGUGAGGAAUAUUGGUCAAUGGGCGAGAGCCUGAACCAGCCAAGUAGCGUGAAGGAUGACUGCCCUAUGGGUUGUAAACUUCUUUUAUAAAGGAAUAAAGUCGGGUAUGGAUACCCGUUUGCAUGUACUUUACGAAUAAGGAUCGGCUAACUCCGUGCCAGCAGCCGCGGUAAUACGGAGGAUCCGAGCGUUAUCCGGAUUUAUUGGGUUUAAAGGGAGCGUAGAUGGAUGUUUAAGUCAGUUGUGAAAGUUUGCGGCUCAACCGUAAAAUUGCAGUUGAUACUGGAUAUCUUGAGUGCAGUUGAGGCAGGCGGAAUUCGUGGUGUAGCGGUGAAAUGCUUAGAUAUCACGAAGAACUCCGAUUGCGAAGGCAGCCUGCUAAGCUGCAACUGACAUUGAGGCUCGAAAGUGUGGGUAUCAAACAGGAUUAGAUACCCUGGUAGUCCACACGGUAAACGAUGAAUACUCGCUGUUUGCGAUAUACUGCAAGCGGCCAAGCGAAAGCGUUAAGUAUUCCACCUGGGGAGUACGCCGGCAACGGUGAAACUCAAAGGAAUUGACGGGGGCCCGCACAAGCGGAGGAACAUGUGGUUUAAUUCGAUGAUACGCGAGGAACCUUACCCGGGCUUAAAUUGCAGAUGAAUUACGGUGAAAGCCGUAAGCCGCAAGGCAUCUGUGAAGGUGCUGCAUGGUUGUCGUCAGCUCGUGCCGUGAGGUGUCGGCUUAAGUGCCAUAACGAGCGCAACCCUUGUUGUCAGUUACUAACAGGUUCCGCUGAGGACUCUGACAAGACUGCCAUCGUAAGAUGUGAGGAAGGUGGGGAUGACGUCAAAUCAGCACGGCCCUUACGUCCGGGGCUACACACGUGUUACAAUGGGGGGUACAGAGGGCCGCUACCACGCGAGUGGAUGCCAAUCCCCAAAACCUCUCUCAGUUCGGACUGGAGUCUGCAACCCGACUCCACGAAGCUGGAUUCGCUAGUAAUCGCGCAUCAGCCACGGCGCGGUGAAUACGUUCCCGGGCCUUGUACACACCGCCCGUCAAGCCAUGGGAGCCGGGGGUACCUGAAGUGCGUAACCGCGAGGAGCGCCCUAGGGUAAAACUGGUGACUGGGGC
rnacentral:rRNA from 1 species